UUUUCGGCCAUUCGGGCCCUAUAAUUUAUUACACCCACCGUAUUUAUCUCCCGGCCUCUAUGUGAAACCAUGCACGGUAAAUUGUAAAAAGUCAACAAGUACUCUUAGGAUUUUACGUCGGAACAGCGAAAAAUCCUUCAGCCUGGUCAUCGAUGUUAGACUUUUUCCUCCUUUGGCUCUGGCUUUGGCGCAGUUUUUCAUCAAGCGGCAAAACGUUCACACAUCUCUAAACCAACAUCAUGCGGCAGUAAAUGGCUGAGGGUUUGGAAGAAAAAACGUCUUAGAAAUUCAACAGCUCUAUUCAUGAAAUGUCGGCAGCUUUCUCAGCAGUCAGGUUUCUGGCGCCUGAUUGAUAUAAUUCGUAUGACUUGCAUUUGCGUCACGAAACUGAUGAGGGAUCAAUUGUGGUGGGUGGUUUUGGAUCAGAAUUUCAGGAGAAUGAUGACUUUGGGCAUAUGAAAGGCUCUUGAUACUCUGCUGCACUCACUGAAAACACGCCCAGUGACCGAUUGAAGAAACGGUAUUUAAAAAAUUAUCAAGGAAGGUUGGAGACGAAAAUACGCAAACAAUAUUAGAACAACAAGAAACACAGCUUUAGAAGCUUUAGCAGAAAUUGACUACUACUACUGCAAAAAACGACAUAUAAAGAUGCAGAAGGGAACGUAUGAACUGCCGAAGGUAAUUUCAAGUCAAAACUGGUUUUAUUUCAGCGCAGUUAU